rnacentral:rRNA from 1 species
GACGAACGCUGGCGGCGUGCCUAACACAUGCAAGUCGAACGGAAAGGCCCUGCUUUUGUGGGGUGCUCGAGUGGCGAACGGGUGAGUAACACGUGAGUAACCUGCCCUUGACUUUGGGAUAACUUCAGGAAACUGGGGCUAAUACCGGAUAGGAUCUCCUGCUGCAUGGUGGGGGUUGGAAAGUUUCGGCGGUUGGGGAUGGACUCGCGGCUUAUCAGCUUGUUGGUGGGGUAGUGGCUUACCAAGGCUUUGACGGGUAGCCGGCCUGAGAGGGUGACCGGACACAUUGGGACUGAGAUACGGCCCAGACUCGUACGGGAGGCAGCGGUGGGGAGUAUUGCACAAUGGGCGGAAGCCUGAUGCAGCAACGCCGCGUGCGGGAUGACGGCCUGCGGGUUGUAAACCGCAUUCGCCUGUGACGAAGCGUGAGUGACGGUAAUGGGUAAAGAAGCACCGGCUAACUACGUG